AGAUCUUGAAGCGGCUAUUCCUGAGGAUAUACCCAAUGAUCCACCGCAGCAAGACGACGAUCUUAUUGCUGAAGAUAGACCUAUUGAUACCUCAAAUCCUGUCAAUCAGCCCACAAGCUCUAUCCGGAAUGAGACAUCCACCGGUCCAACAAAACCUACUGACAAGCCAACAGCCCCAGUGCAAACCGGCGAUACCAAGGAUGAUGAGGUUGUCAUUACUGGCACUGGCCAUACAGAGCCAAACAAUCCUGUCGCUUUGUCCAAACACUCUACCAAGGAAGAAGUUGCUGCCUUUGGCAAAGGCAAGUGGAAUGCUAAUCUGGCGACUUAUGCUUCUCUUAACGCCCAAGAUAUCCAUUCCGGCUACCUAAACCGGCUGUAUACCAGUCGUGACUAUGAAGCCGGUCUGGUUAACAUGAUGAAAGAUAAAUAUGAGGCUGAGCUGAAGACGAAAGAAAGCCAAGUCGCCGAUCUCCAAGAAAAUGUGAAAUCCCAACAAGAUUAAACCUCCAAAGCCAAAGAGGAGUUAACCAGCGCUUUAAGCGCCAUGGAAUAGCUCAAGGAGGGCUUUAAGAAAGAAUGGGCGGAUUGGGUUACUGACAAAUCCGCUUUAACCAAACGAGCACAAGAUGCCGAGGCUGCACUUAAACCGGUGGCGGACGAAUUGGCCAGCAUAAAGCGGCAUGUGCAUGCCAUGACCAGUGCCUUCUUUGGGACACGCAUUGGUCAUCUAAGGUCAGAUGUGCGGAAGAAAUUGAAGGCCGCCUAUACACUGAUCGAACAACUGUAUACUGGUGCACAACGGAUCAUCAGUACUGCAUCCCCCAACAAACCGGCGCCCACUUUGAUUCAGGACACUCUACAGAAACUGGUGGUGCUUCAUGCUCUGGUUGAAGAACUGAAGAAAUUUGCUGCCCGAACCAGCACGAUCAACGCCUUAAUCCAGGCUAAAGCUUGGGUGCCAGAUUUUGAUCCUAUUGAAGCGGCUCAGGGCUAUCCUAGCCUGAAGGAAGACGGGUCAGAAUUUGGUGAAGCGGAUCUGCGAGCAAUAAACCGGGAGGUGCG